ACUGUGGAAGCUGAAGAAACGUGCACUUAUAGAUAAAAGAUAAAGUGAAAGAUAAAAAGCUAAAAUGGAUAAUAAAGGAGACUCACCAGAGGCCCCAAGAGAACGAAAGCCCCGAACAUCAAAAUCACAUUACACAUUUACACGCCAAUUAUAGAGGGUUUAAUACAAAUUUAAAUUUGAACACCCGCGGGACAGUUACGGUUUCGAACCCCCAUCGGUUUUAUUUCUGACGGUUAAGCGUGAUUAUUGUUGUUUAUUUAUGUUUCACUAUUAGUGUACUUGCAAACACAAUGUAAGACGGUCGUGAUUUUGAUCCUCGGUGUUCUCGUUCUCUUGGGGCCUCUGCUUCCACAAUAAUGGGAGUACAGUCAUACACGUGUGCACUUUGUUCCUUUACGGCUGGAAUGGAGGAGACUCACCGUCAGUUUCAUUCGAUUUUGAGAGCACCGUGACCUCAUCGCGUUAGAUGUAUUAUAAUUCGACUGAAAAUGGUCUAAAAGUCUAAAGCAAGGACCGAAACGUUUUGGUAACUAAAGAAAAAUUCCUACAAGAUUGUGAUUGCGCUUUAUUUACCGCGUUUUUACUCCCACUUGCCCAGUUUCUUAUUUUAUUAUAUUUAUAUAUAUUUAUUUAUUUGUAAAUUGUGUAUAUAAA